CGCAGCGACUGCGGAGGAUCAUUACCGAGUGCGGGCCCCUCGGGGCCCAACCUCCCACCCGUGUUGCCCGAACCUAUGUUGCCUCGGCGGGCCCCGCGCCCGCCGACGGCCCCCCUGAACGCUGUCUGAAGUUGCAGUCUGAGACCUAUAACGAAAUUAGUUAAAACUUUCAACAACGGAUCUCUUGGUUCCGGCAUCGAUGAAGAACGCAGCGAAAUGCGAUAACUAAUGUGAAUUGCAGAAUUCAGUGAAUCAUCGAGUCUUUGAACGCACAUUGCGCCCUCUGGUAUUCCGGAGGGCAUGCCUGUCCGAGCGUCAUUGCUGCCCUCAAGCCCGGCUUGUGUGUUGGGCCCCGUCCCCCCCGCCGGGGGGACGGGCCCGAAAGGCAGCGGCGGCACCGCGUCCGGUCCUCGAGCGUAUGGGGCUUCGUCACCCGCUCUAGUAGGCCCGGCCGGCGCCAGCCGACCCCCAACCUUUAAUUAUCUCAGGUUGACCUCGGAUCAGGUAGGGAUACCCGCUGAACUUAAGCAUAUCAAU
rnacentral:rRNA from 1 species